rnacentral:rRNA from 1 species
CACGUAGGAGGCAAACGUUAUCCGGAUUUACUGGGCGUAAAGCGCGUGUAGGUGGUUCUGUAAGUAGGGCGUGAAAGCUCCCGGCUCAACUGGGAGAGGCCGUUCUAAACUGCAGAGCUAGAGGAUGGUAGAGGGAGGUGGAAUUCCAGGUGUAGCUGUGGAAUGCGCAGAUAUCUGGAGGAACACCAGUGGCGAAGGCGGCCUCCUGGACCAUUCCUGACACUCAGACGCGAAAGCUAGGGUAGCAAACGGGAUUAGAUACCCGGGUAGUCCCU